rnacentral:misc_RNA from 1 species
CCGAGUUGCAAGACUCCCUAAACCCAUGUGAACAUACCUCUACGUUGCUUCGGCGGGACGCCCGGCGCCCAGCCGACCCUCCCCCCGGGGAUCGGGCCCCCGACCAGGGCGCCCGCCGGAGGAUACCCAAACUCUUGUACAUUCAGUAGAUUCUUCUGAGUAUUCUAACUGCAAAUAAGUCA